rnacentral:rRNA from 1 species
CUGGCGGCGUGCUUAACACAUGCAAGUCGAACGAUGAAGGUGGGAGCUUGCUCCUACUGGAUUAGUGGCGAACGGGUGAGUAACACGUGAGCAAUCUGCCCCUGACUCUGGGAUAAGCGUUGGAAACGACGUCUAAUACCGGAUACGAGCUGGGACCGCAUGGUCACCAGCUGGAAAGAACUUUGGUCAGGGAUGAGCUCGCGGCCUAUCAGCUUGUUGGUGAGGUAAUGGCUCACCAAGGCGACGACGGGUAGCCGGCCUGAGAGGGUGACCGGCCACACUGGGACUGAGACACGGCCCAGACUCCUACGGGAGGCAGCAGUGGGGAAUAUUGCACAAUGGGCGCAAGCCUGAUGCAGCAACGCCGCGUGAGGGACGAAGGCCUUCGGGUUGUAAACCUCUUUUAGCAGGGAAGAAGCGAAAGUGACGGUACCUGCAGAAAAAGCGCCGGCUAACUACGUGCCAGCAGCCGCGGUAAUACGUAGGGCGCAAGCGUUGUCCGGAAUUAUUGGGCGUAAAGAGCUCGUAGGCGGUUUGUCGCGUCUGCUGUGAAAAUCCGAGGCUCAACCUCGGACCUGCAGUGGGUACGGGCAAACUAGAGUGCGGU